CCCUCGAUCUCCAAACAUGAGGGGUACUGCCUGCCCGGUGAAUUAAUUUUAAACGGCCGCGGUAUCCUGACCGUGCGAAGGUAGCAUAAUCACUAGCCCUCUAAAUAAGGGCCGGUAUGAAUGGCAACACGAAGGCCUAACUGUCUCCCCCUUAAAAAAAGAAACUUCUUUGGCCGUGCAAAAGCGGCCAUUAAAGCGCCAGACGAGAAGACCCUAUCGAGCUUCAGAGAUAAAGAACCAAUUUAAAACUAGGCCAGCUGACCCCUUCAGGAUACCCUAAAUUUUUCCCACAAGCCUAGCUUCAUUCUUACUUCUCCACUCUCUUUGGUUGGGGCAACCACGGAGAACACCCAUCCUCCGAACCAAACUAAUUUUAACCGACAUUACGUCUUAAGAAUAACCCUUAUGGAAUAUGAUCCGGUCAACCCGAACAAUAAACAAAGUUACCGUAGGGAUAACAGCGUAAUCCCUCCCAAGAGCCCGCAUUGCCGGAGGGGUUUGCGACCUCGAUGUUGGAUCGGGGAAUCCCGAUGGUGCAGCCGCUAUCAACGGUUGGUCUGUUCGACCAUUAAAACCCC
rnacentral:rRNA from 1 species